rnacentral:rRNA from 1 species
UACGAACCGUACAAACGUUAUUCGGAAUCACUGGGCUUAAAGGGUGCGUAGGCGGCCAUGUAAGUGAGGUGUGAAAUCCCUCGGCUCAACCGAGGAACUGCGCUUCAUACUGCAUGGCUUGAGGGAGACAGGGGUAAGCGGAACUGAUGGUGGAGCGGUGAAAUGCGUUGAUAUCAGCAGGAACACCGGUGGCGAAAGCGGCUUACUGGGUCUCUUCUGACGCUGAGGUACGAAAGCUAGGGGAGCGAACGGG